GACGAACGCUGGCGGCGUGCUUAACACAUGCAAGUCGAACGGAAAGGCCCUGCUUUUGUGGGGUGCUCGAGUGGCGAACGGGUGAGUAACACGUGAGUAACCUGCCCUUGACUUUGGGAUAACUUCAGGAAACUGGGGCUAAUACCGGAUAGGAGCUCCUGCUGCAUGGUGGGGGUUGGAAAGUUUCGGCGGUUGGGGAUGGACUCGCGGCUUAUCAGCUUGUUGGUGGGGUAGUGGCUUACCAAGGCUUUGACGGGUAGCCGGCCUGAGAGGGUGACCGGCCACCAUGGGGCUGGAGACGCGCCCGGGCCCGCGAGGGGGGGCAGCAGGGGGGAAUAUGGAACAAGGGGGGGAGCCCGAAGGCGGAACCCCCGGGGGGGGAAGGACGGCUUGGGGUUUGUAACCGUUUUCCGCCGGGGAGGAAGGGGGAGGGGCGGUAGGGGAAAAAGAAGCCCGGGCUACCUCGGUG
rnacentral:rRNA from 1 species